rnacentral:sRNA from 1 species
CCAAACAAAGACCACACUGUUGACAGCGUUGGGUUCCAGUAGCGGUAAACUACCAAGGGGCUGGUUUACAGAAAAUGAGCUUGCUCUGUGAUGUCAUACAAGUUUGCUUUGUCCUGACGCCAACAUGACACUGAGGCAGCAGGGGAGGGAGAACAGGAAAAUUGGAACCGUGCUCUUGGUUAAUGGUUUCCAGAGAUUAUUUAGCAGGACUUGAACAGAGGGAGGAAAAUAUUGUGGAGGAUUGCUGCGAGGUGUACCAUGAUUGCGUGCAGCUGUCUGCUUCAGAAAGUGAGGGCUCCAGGAAUGAGGAGAAUCUUCAAGAGCUGCCUCGCACUGUGACAUGUCUGAUCCCUUGCUCCCAUCCCUGCAGCAUGAACAAGGUGGACACUCACUGACCUGUCACAAGGUUGCCCCACAAAACUUUGGGGUCCAUGUC